rnacentral:rRNA from 1 species
UGGGGAAUCUUGCACAAUGGGGGCAACCCUGAUGCAGCGACGCCGCGUGAGCGAUGAAGCCCUUCGGGGCGUAAAGCUCUUUCGCCCGGAACGAUAAUGACGGUACCGGGAGAAGAAGCUGCGGCUAACUACGUGCCAGCAGCCGCGGUAAUACGUAGGCAGCGAGCGUUGUUCGGAGUUACUGGGCGUAAAGGGUGUGUAGGCGGUUCUCUAAGUUUGGUGCGAAAUCUCCCGGCUUAACCGGGAGGGUGCGCCGAAAACUGGGGAGCUAGAGUGCGGGAAGGGAGAGUGGAAUUCCUGGUGUAGCGGUGAAAUGCGUAGAUAUCAGGAGGAACACCGGUGGUGUAGACGGCUCUCUGGACCGUAACUGACGCUGAGACACGAAAGCGUGGGUAGCAAACA